CCUACGGGUGGCAGCAGUGAGGAAUAUUGGUCAAUGGGCGCGAGCCUGAACCAGCCAAGUAGCGUGAAGGAUGAAUGCCCUACGGGUUGUAAACUUCUUUUAUAAAGGAAUAAAGUGAGGCACGUGUGCCUGUUUGUAUUUACUUUAUGAAUAUGGAUCGGCUAACCCCGGUCCAGCAGCCGCGGUAAUACGGAGGAUCCGAGCGUUAUCCGGAUUUAUUGGGUUUAAAGGGAGCGUAGAUGGGUUGUUAAGUCAGUUGUGAAAGUUUGCGGCUCAACCGUAAAAUUGCAAUUGAUACUGGCAGUCUUGAGUACAGUUGAGGUAGGCGGAAUUCGUGGUGUAGCGGUGAAAUGCUUAGAUAUCACGAAGAACUCCGAUUGCGAAGGCAGCUUACUAAACUGCCACUGACAUUGAUGCUCGAAAGUGUGGGUAGCAAACAGGAUUAGAUACCCCAGUAGUC
rnacentral:rRNA from 1 species